rnacentral:rRNA from 1 species
AGUGAACGCUGGCGGUAGGCCUAACACAUGCAAGUCGAACGGCAGCACAGUAAGAGCUUGCUCUUACGGGUGGCGAGUGGCGGACGGGUGAGGAAUACCUCGGAAUCUACUUUUUCGUGGGGGAUAACGUAGGGAAACUUACGCUAAUACCGCAUACGACCUAAGGGUGAAAGCAGGGGAUCUUCGGACCUUGCGCGAUUGAAUGAGCCGAUGUCGGAUUAGCUAGUUGGCGGGGUAAAGGCCCACCAAGGCGACGAUCCGUAGCUGGUCUGAGAGGAUGAUCAGCCACACUGGAACUGAGACACGGUCCAGACUCCUACGGGAGGCAGCAGUGGGGAAUAUUGGACAAUGGGCGCAAGCCUGAUCCAGCCAUACCGCGUGGGUGAAGAAGGCCUUCGGGUUGUAAAGCCCUUUUGUUGGGAAAGAAAAGCAGCAGGUUAAUACCCCGCUGUUCUGACGUUACCCAAAGAAUAAGCACCGGCUAACUUCGUG